CAGAGAUCUAAGGACCCAGCAUGUUGAGACGGCUUUCUGAGUAUCAUCUUACAGGGAAAAGAGCGGAGCAGUGGAAAUCAAGGCUGGGUGAGCAUAUGCCACAGACCUGGCACAGUGGAGUCAGUGUAUGAACCUGUUCUGCCUGACUUCCUUGAAUGUGAUCUUUUGACCAGAGUCUAUACUAUGGAAGAUGGACCUGUCAAGCCUCUCAGCCUGCAGCGCAAAUGCCUGACUUUAUAAACCAUGCCCAAGGAUACUCUGGGCAGCAGAAGGAUGGUAACAGUUCUUCACCCUAAAAUUUCACUUGGAGAGGGAAGCACACAAAGUACUGUUCACCUGUAUCCCUCUUUCUACAGACCAAUCAUCCUUUUAAAAAGCUACAAAAAGGCAAAAAAACAGACCUGGAACUGUUUUGGCGCUUUUAUUUUGAAAGAUACUAUACAAGAGCUUAUUAAAGACUUGGUCAAAAGAGCCACAUUAAUUUUUUUCCUGUCCUCCAUAAAAAUUCAAA